AACAAACGGACGAGGACGAGGACAA
rnacentral:piRNA from 1 species